CUCCGGUUGAUCCCGCCGGACCCGACUGCUAUCAGAGUGGGACUAAGCCAUGCGAGUCGACGUAGCAAUGCGUGGCGAACGGCUCAGUAACACGUAGUCAACAUGCCCAGGGGACGUGGAUAACCUCGGGAAACUGAGAAUAAACCACGAUAGGUCACGAUUUCUGGAAUGGAUCAUGGCCUAAAUCUACAUGGCCCCUGGAUUGGACUGCGGCCGAUCAGGCUGUUGGUGAGGUAAUGGCCCACCAAACCUAUAACCGGUACGGGCUCUGAGAGGAGAAGCCCGGAGAUGGGCACUGAGACAAGGGCCCAGGCCCUAUGGGGCGCAGCAGGCGCGAAACCUCUGCAAUAGGCGAAAGCCUGACAGGGUUACUCUGAGUGAUUUCCGCUAAGGGGAUCUUUUGGCACCUCUAAAAAUGGUGCAGAAUAAGGGGUGGGCAAGUCUGGUGUCAGCCGCCGCGGUAAUACCAGCACCCCGAGUGGUCGGGACGAUUAUUGGGCCUAAAGCAUCCGUAGCCGGUUCUGCAAGUCUUCCGUUAAAUCCAGCCGCUCAACGGAUGGGCCGCGGAGGAUACUACAGGACUAGGAGGCGGGAGAGGCAAGCGGUACUCAGUGGGUAGGGGUAAAAUCCUUUGAUCCAUUGAAGACCACCAGUGGCGAAGGCGGCUUGCCAGAACGCGCUCGACGGUGAGGAAUGAAAGCUGGGGGAGCAAACCGGAUUAGAUACCCGGGUAGUCCCAGCUGUAAACGAUGCAAACUCGGUGAUGCAUUGGCUUAUGGCCAAUGCAGUGCCGCAGGGAAGCCGUUAAGUUUGCCGCCUGGGAAGUACGGACGCAAGUCUGAAACUUAAAGGAAUUGGCGGGGGAGCA
rnacentral:rRNA from 1 species